UACGAAGGGGGCUAGCGUUGUUCGGAUUUACUGGGCGUAAAGCGCACGUAGGCGGAUCGUUAAGUCGGGGGUGAAAUCCUGGAGCUCAACUCCAGAACUGCCUUCGAUACUGGCGAUCUUGAGUCCGGAAGAGGUGAGUGGAACUCCUAGUGUAGAGGUGGAAUUCGUAGAUAUUAGGAAGAACACCAGUGGCGAAGGCGGACUCACUGGUCCGGUACUGACGCUGAGG
rnacentral:rRNA from 1 species